GACAGAGGGUGCUAGCGUUGUUCGGAAUUACUGGGCGUAAAGGGCGCGUAGGCGGUCUGCUAAGUUCGGUGUGAAAUCCCCUGGCUCAACUGGGGAACUGCGCUGGAAACUGGCAGACUCGAGUACCGGAGAGGAGAGUGGAAUUCCUGGUGUAGCGGUGAAAUGCGUAGAUAUCAGGAGGAACACCGGUGGCGAAGGCGGCUCUCUGGACGGAUACUGACGCUGAGGCGCGAAAGCGUGGGGAGCGAACAGG
rnacentral:rRNA from 1 species